AUAGGAAAGUAAUGAUCAAAGUUUAGAGCCGCGAUGGUAGUCUGUAAUGGUAACGCGCUCGACCGUGUACCAUUCGGUGUGCCAGGAAAUUUUCAACUUUUGCGGUAGGCUGAACUUCAUUUGAAAAGCUUUCUCUCUUUCUCUCUCUCCCUCUCUCUCUGUCUGUCUGUCUAUCGAGCACGUAAUUCUGCUGACGGGUUGCAAGCAUUAACGGUACGAUGACUUUAAUUGCAUUCUCGUCGUUAAAAUUACAUUCGUUAUCUUGAUAACCCUUUGAAAGGUUUUCCUUUUAUUUUUUUUCUUUUCUCUCUUUUUUUUUCUUUUUUUUUUUCUAAUUUCGUUUCACGAUCCGUCAGGAACACGUGCCGAGGGUCGGAGUUGAUUUGAAAAAAAAAAAAAAAAAAAAAAAAAAAAAAAAAAAAAAAAAAAACAAAAAAAAACAAAAAAGAAACCAAACAAAAAAAUCUCAACAAUCAUUCGUUGACUCUUGUAUAAUAUCGCAUGAAUAAUGGGCGUGCGUGAAAACGUUUCAUAUCUUUGAAUAUCCCCUAUGUGGGUAACUUAACUUAUGUAGAUAUGUUUACACUGACACAUCACGUCAAAUAUAGAAUAAAGAAAGAUAGAGAGAAAGAGAAGGUAACAGUAGGCGUAAAGCUCGGCGCCAAUAGUUCAGUAUGUAGAACAUAGUGCUAUCGAGUUACACUCACGAUCACCGUCGUAAUAAUUACGUGUCGCUCCUACGAUCUACGUAUGUACGAUAUAAGAGAGGGUAAAAGAAGGGAGAGAGAAAGAAAGAGAGAGAGCGAAUGCGCAUGCACAUACAUACGUAUAUACACCGUCGCGUUCUAAGCUUCGUGUUACCAGUUUUUGAACGGAUAGACGAUACCAAGAGGGAAAGCGUGCUAUCUCGGUCAUAGACAUCGAUAUCGGUGCAUUUGCUAUUGGUCAACAUCAUUGGUAUCAAUCGAUAUUCGAUACUGACGGUAAGUAGCGGAUAUGGACUCGACCAUAAUAACGAUAAGUAUCGAUACCGGGUCAACAAGAAGAAAUUGAGUACGAAAGAAUGGAGAAUAAACGGAGGGAGAUAAAAAAUGUAUAAGAUCGAGAUCGCACUUACAUAUCAGUCGUGUGAAAUACCAUCAGAGGAAAAAAUAAACGUGGAUUGAAAUUUUAAUUACUGCACUUAUAAAAAAAAAAAAAAAAGAAAAAAAAAAAAAGAAAAAAGAAACGAUAGAACAUUAUUUUUAUUAUUAAAUCAGGGCGUUAAAAGGGAGAGAAUGAGGGAGCAGAAAGAGAUUUCUUUUAUUUUCGUAAAUCUACGUGUGAACGUGAGUAUAAAAAAAAAAAAACAAAAAAACAUACAAGGAAGAUUUUCCAAAAAAAAAAAAAAAUCGUAUAAAAACGCUGGGCCUCCCCCCUCCCCAAUCUCAUAACAACUAUUAAGAGAAAAGAGUGUAACAAAAAAUACGAUAAGUAUAGACGGUAUCUUGUCGAAAUCUUGUGCCACGUUGGAUUAGCUUACACAGUUUGGCAAAACGAAAAGGAAAGGUAACGGUGAAUAUAUCGAGUGUCUCGUUCUCACAAAUCUUCGGUGUCUAAUUAGGAAUGAGAGGAGGAGAGACAAACUACCAUUGCCAUCGUCGUCGCUCUCCUCCUCCUUCUCGUCACCGCCUAUCGUUGGACUUUGAAAGCCGCAAAUACUUCGAAGUAGAGACGAAUGAACGAGCAAAUACUACGCCAAACACGAGGCGAGUAUAGUACGUUUUCAUUCAUUGAUACCUCUGUCUCUGUCUCUCGUUCUAUCUCUUUCAUUCUCUUUCUAUCACCUGUUAUAUCCGGCAGCAGUUUAUCUCCCCUCCUCGAAAUUAACAUUCCACCUAUAUCGUCCCUGUCUCACCGAACUGAAGGAUCGUAGGCCUACCAUGCAUUAAGUUGUCGAAGAAGGAUAGAACUAACACGUACCUGCGUGUGUACGUAUUAUACGAAUGAGAAAGAGAGAGAGAGAGAGAGAGAGAGAGAGAGAGAGAGAGAACAUAUCCUCUCUUUCAUGGGACAGAGACCACAAUGCGUACCAGAUAUAUACAUAUAUAUAUAUACAAAACCUUUUUUUAACUUUUUCCUUUUUUUAUUUCCCACUGUUCUCCUUAAUUCUUUUUUUAUUUCUUUUAUUAUCCGAUCAUUAAUGUUCAACCAUAAUCAUUAAAGUCAUUCGCAUUUUCAAUGAACGAGUAUCGAUAAAUAUACGCUAAACGUAUACACGCACACACAUGCAUCCAAACGUACAUGCAUAUACAAGGAAAUGCUUAUCGUAAGUGCAAUUUAAAGAGAAGUAACAUAUAAUAGACGAACGUUUUUCAUUAGAUGGAGGAAGAGGUAAGAGAAAUAGCAUAGUUCACGUUGUUGUGUUUUAAGCUUGGAAUUCACUUUAACAUUGAAAAAUCCUAGAAGACUACCAGGGAUGUGUGUAUCGUAAUAGAUAAGGAUUAAACUCGAUAAACUACGUUAUACAUGCUGUUUCAUUCUUUUUAUUAUAUCGUUUGUCUUCUCUUCGUACCGAUAGAAAACUCUCUCUCUCUCUCUCUCUCUCUCUUUAUCGAAGAUACUUAAUCAAAGGACUUUAUGAACUCGAUGUAAGCUUUUAGAUUUUCGAUACGACGUUACAGAAAAAGAAAGAUUAAAAUAAAAAAAGUAAAAGACGAGAAAAAGAAAAUGGAGAUAAAU